rnacentral:piRNA from 1 species
UGGUACUCGCCCAUUCUGCUCUUCUUCAC